CAGUCGUACGCGUCUCCGUUAAUGAUUUUAGGUGCUUGCACUUGAAAGAUUUAACAUUGAGACGAGUGGCGAACUGGUGAGUAACACGUGGGUAACCUGCCCUUGAAGUAGGGGAUAACACUUGGAAACAGGUGCUAAUACCGUAUAACAACCAAAACCACCUGGUUUUGGUUUAAAAGACGGCUUCGGCUGUCACUUUAGGAUGGACCCGCGGCGUAUUAGCUUGUUGGUAAGGUAACGGCCUACCAAGGCGAUGAUACGUAGCCGACCUGAGAGGGUAAUCGGCCACAUUGGGACUGAGACACGGCCCAAACUCCUACGGGAGGCAGCAGUAGGGAAUCUUCCACAAUGGACGAAAGUCUGAUGGAGCAACGCCGCGUGAGUGAUGAAGGGUUUCGGCUCGUAAAACUCUGUUGUUGGAGAAGAACAGGUGUCAGAGUAACUGUUGACAUCUUGACGGUAUCCAACCAGAAAGCCACGGCUAACUACGUGCCAGCAGCCGCGGUAAUACGUAGGUGGCAAGCGUUGUCCGGAUUUAUUGGGCGUAAAGCGAGCGCAGGCGGUUUUUUAGGUCUGAUGUGAAAGCCUUCGGCUUAACCGGAGAAGUGCAUCGGAAACCGGGAGACUUGAGUGCAGAAGAGGACAGUGGAACUCCAUGUGUAGCGGUGAAAUGCGUAGAUAUAUGGAAGAACACCAGUGGCGAAGGCGGCUGUCUGGUCUGUAACUGACGCUGAGGCUCGAAAGCAUGGGUAGCGAACAGGAUUAGAUACCCUGGUAGUCCAUGCCGUAAACGAUGAGUGCUUAGUGUUGGAGGGUUUCCGCCCUUCAAUGCUGCAGCUAACGCAUUAAGCACUC
rnacentral:rRNA from 1 species